rnacentral:rRNA from 1 species
UACGGAGGGUGCAAGCGUUAUCCGGAUUCACUGGGUUUAAAGGGCGCGUAGGCGGCCUUCUAAGUCAGACGUGAAAUCCCCAGGCUUAACUUGGGAACUGCGUCUGAUACUGGGAGGCUUGAAUGCGGGAGAGGGAUGUGGAAUUCCAGGUGUAGCGGUGAAAUGCGUAGAUAUCUGGAGGAACACCGGUGGCGAAGGCGGCAUCCUGGACCGACAUUGACGCUGAGGCGCGAAGGCGUGGGGAGCAAACAGG